rnacentral:rRNA from 1 species
GACGAACGCUGGCGGCGUGCCUAAUACAUGCAAGUUGAGCGCUGAAGGUUGGUACUUGUACCGACUGGAUGAGCAGCGAACGGGUGAGUAACGCGUGGGGAAUCUGCCUUUGAGCGGGGGACAACAUUUGGAAACGAAUGCUAAUACCGCAUAAAAACUUUAAACACAAGUUUUAAGUUUGAAAGAUGCAAUUGCAUCACUCAAAGAUGAUCCCGCGUUGUAUUAGCUAGUUGGUGAGGUAAAGGCUCACCAAGGCGAUGAUACAUAGCCGACCUGAGAGGGUGAUCGGCCACAGUGGGACUGAGACACGGCCCAAACUCCUACGGGAGGCAGCAGUAGGGAAUCUUCGGCAAUGGACGAAAGUCUGAACGAGCAACGCCGCGGGAGUGAAGAAGGUUGUCGGAUCGUAAAACUCUGUUGGUAGAGAAGAACGUUGGUGAGAGUGGAAAGCUCAUCAAGUGACGGUAACUACCCAGAAAGGGACGGCUAACUACGUG